GACAGGGAGCAGACUUGGCACCCCCAGAGUUCUUCUCCCAGCAAUCACAACAGCUGCAUCCUCCAUUGCUCUGUGUGUGUUGAUGGAGGAGGUGAUCUCAAAGUGAGACAUCUGGGACCAGGAUUUGGAGCAGCAGAUCUCAAAUGUCCAUCAUUGACACUGCCUGAGUACAGGCACCAAAGGGGUCACCUGAGCCAUAAGACAGCCUUCCUGCCUAACAAGACUGCUGUGCCUCAGGGACAUGAGGGCUCUCUCCUGACACUGGUACUUCCCAAGGAAGCAAAGAGACCAGCUCAGAAGAGCAAUGAAAGCCACCUGAGAACUGCCGCCUCUGCCCACCCCUCCCUUUUAAAACUAGUCACUGAAUGACAACGCCCCUGCCAGAUUAGAAUCUGGCUUUCCCUCCUCCUGAGACAUCACUGCCAAUAUAAUUUCUCCUACAAGGCAA